rnacentral:rRNA from 1 species
AUUGGACGCUGGCGGCAGGCCUAACACAUGCAAGUCGAACGAGUGGCGGACGGGUGAGUAAUGUCUGGGAAACUGCCUGAUGGAGGGGGAUAACUACUGGAAACGGUAGCUAAUACCGCAUACCCUCGGAUGUGCCCAGAUGGGAUUGGCAAGGAGUUGGGGUAAAGGCUCACCUAGGCCACGUUCCCUCGCUGGUCUGAGAGGAGGACAAGCCACACUGUAACUGAGACACGGUCCAGACUCCUACGUGCGGCAGCAGUGGGAAAUAUUGCACACUGGGCGCAAGCCUGAUGCAGCCAUGCCGCGUGUAUGAAGAAGGCCUUCGGGUUGUAAAGUACUUUCAGCGGGGAGGCGUUACCCGCAGAAGAAGUACCGGCUAACUCCUUGCCAGCAGCCGCGGUAAUAC